GGGACGGGCGCGCAGUAUUGUCCGCUACGCAGCUCGGGAUCCGGGUCGGGUUGUCGGCUGGGUUGCUGCCGGGCGCUGUAGCGCGUUGGCCACCCAGCAUUGAGCUGCCCGCGGCUGUUCUCCCUAAGCACCCUCGCUCACGUUGCCUCGCCUCGCCUGACCGGCCGCAACCUUCGAGACCAGCUUUAAAUCGAGCCGACGACUGCCCGGCCCCGCCCGCGGGGGAGGUGCGUGGGGUUCGGUGCCAGCCGCUCUCCCUGGCCGGGCCAGCCUCUUGAUGCACCGGGAACGGGCGCGCCCAUCCGAUUCGAGGGGCGGCCGGGCCCCAUCUGUGUCUUUCGCUCCCGAGCCCCCAGCUAGAGUUGGCUUCAGCGGAAUGCCUACUGUGCAGGAUUAUUCAACAAGCCGAUUGAUCACAUUCUUCAGCUCUAGCAGGGCAAAAGCGUCACUCAAAAAGAACAUUACAGAUUUUUUUUGAAAGAAACUUCGGGGUAAAUUUAAUUUAAAAUACUGAUUUUUGAUAACAUUUGAUCUUAUGACAGCAUUUAUUUUUAAUUACAGAUAGGGUUACACUAAAAGUCAUUUCUGACCUGCUUCAUUACCCUUAUGGCUCCAAAAUAAACUGUUAGGCCCUGAAGCAAAGGCGAACCCUGUUCUAGAGCAAUGUCUUUCUUGUAUUAAAAAACGGCCUCAUGCUCACAUAUGGGCUGUUUUGUGUUUUGCUUUUGUGUUGUUGCACAAAGGAAUCCUUAAUAUGUCUGUCCUCAAAGACCAAAGACAAGUAUCUAGUAAAAAAUGCAAAUCAUAUCUAACAGUGAAGCUUUCCAGCAAAAACCUUCUGCUCUCGAAUGCAUAAUUAUGCCAGCAUAAGAUCUACUACUGCAGACUUUUAGCAUAAUUACCUAUAGGCAGCAAAACCCUAGUCGAUUGAGUGUCUGGUUCCUCUCAGACCUGGACUUCUCAAAGAGAAUGGGCAAGGAGGACAAAAAGGAAGAGACAACUAUGCUUUGUGGAACAAGAGAUGACUUUAAAAAUAAUUCUCUAGCAGUCUUCCUAAUUCCUGUCACAGACUUGAUGUGCUUAUCUGCUGUUGAGGCCACGGUUACCAGUUUCUAACCUUCUCUGUCUGAAAAACUAGAAAUUAGAUGCUCAUAUGGCCUAGAGCCAGAAGUGCAGGAGGCAGAAAGUCAGGGGCCAGGUUUUUUGGUUUGUUUCUGAAUAAGGCGGCCAAAUCCUGACUUAAAAUAAUCAGAAUAAAUGUUACAGAGUGAUGGUCUUUCCAGCUGAAAGCCUUAAAACAUGGCAUCUGGAAGAAGGCCUUAGUCUAUUGCUCCCAGGGUGGUACUAGAUAGUCAUUAAACAGCCCACAGAUAAGGGAGUUACUGCUCCCUGGUUAUUGGGCUGCCAGGAAUUAAAUGAUGGAACUAAGUUUCACUUGAAACAUUCCCAAAUUAAAACAAAAACAAGCCUGGCUUUGAGCUGUUGAAAAGGCAUUUUACUGAGAGAUCCAGAUGCUGUUGCUGUUCUUAAAUGAUGUUGAAAGGCAAAGGGUCAGGACUUUCAAAAAGUCACUUUGAGGUUACCUCACGUAAGCAACAGCCUGAACUGAUGCAAAAAUAAACAGAAUGAAAUUUUGAACAGGAGAAAGAAACUAAACUGAGGGCAGUGUAUGCCAUAAAUAUGGAAGAGGCUGUCUCUUAUUUAUCUUCUCAUUUCCUGUACAUAAUACAGAAACCUGGUAUGUAAUAGGCAUACAAUUAUUUGUAGCCCAACUGAAUAAAUAAGGAAGGAAACCAACAAGCAGUGGGCAGAUAAUAUACUUGGGAAAGCAGAACUGCAGAGAAGCUGGGUGGCUCAAGGCCUCUGCAUGAUCCUUAAAUGUCACUCCAAUCGGCUGUGACGUAGCUGUACCACUCAUCCGAAUACCCCAGAACAAAUUGUCUGCCUCCCUCAUGUACAACUUUUAUCAUUUCUUAUCUUGAAUGGUUAUGUAGUAGUGGCUGGGUGCGGUGACUCACGCCUGUAAUCCCAGCACUUUGGGAGGCUGAGGCAGGCGGAUCACCUGAGGUCAGGAGUUCGAGACCAGCCUCAACGUGGAGAAACCCCGUCUCUACUAAAAAUACAAAAUUAUCCGGGCAUGGUGGUGCAUGUCUGUAAUUCCAGCUACUCGGGAGGCUGAGGCAGGUGAAUUGCUUGAACCUGGGAGGCAGAGGUAGCGGUGAGCCGAGAUUGCACCAUUGCACUCCAGCCUGGGCAACAAGAGCGAAAUUCCGUCUCAAAAAAAAAAAAAAA
ensembl:lncRNA